GAAGAAAGAAAGAAAAAGAAAGAAAAGUCAGGUCCUGUACAGCUUUCUAAGUACUUGAAAGAUAAAAAGAAGAAUCAGAACUACAGUAUGAUCCACAGGGAAGAAAAUUAAGAUGAAAAGUAAAGAAGAG